UAGGGAAUCUUCCACAAUGGACGCAAGUCUGAUGGAGCAACGCCGCGUGAGUGAAGAAGGUUUUCGGACCGUAAAGCUCUGUUGUUGGUGAAGAAGGAUAGAGGUAGUAACUGGCCUUUAUUUGACGGUAAUCAACCAGAAAGUCACGGCUAACUACGUGCCAGCAGCCGCGGUAAUACGUAGGUGGCAAAGCGUUGUCCGGAUUUAUUGGGCGUAAAGCGAGCGCAGGCGGAAGAAUAAGUCUGAUGUGAAAGCCCUCGGCUUAACCGAGGAAUUGCAUCG
rnacentral:rRNA from 1 species